rnacentral:rRNA from 1 species
UUAAGUUAAUAAGGGCGCACGGUGGAUGCCUUGGCACUAGGAGCCGACGAAGGACGUGACAAACGACGAUAUGCCUUGGGUAGCUGUAAGUAAGCGAUGAUCCAGGGAUUUCCGAAUGGGGGAACCCAACAGGUAAUACCUGUUACCCACAUCUGUUAAGGAUGUGAGGAGGAAGACGCAGUGAACUGAAACAUCUAAGUAGCUGCAGGAAGAGAAAGCAAAAGCGAUUGCCUUAGUAGCGGCGAGCGAAACGGCAGAAGGGCAAACCGAAGAGUUUACUCUUCGGGGUUGUAGGACUGCAAUGUGGACUCAAAGAUUAUAGAAGAAUGAUUUGGGAAGAUCAGCCAAAGAGAGUAAUAGCCUCGUAUUUAAAAUAGUCUUUGUACCUAGCAGUAUCCUGAGUACGGCGGGACACGUGAAAUCCCGUCGGAAUCUGGGAGGACCAUCUCCCAACCCUAAAUACUCCCUAGUGACCGAUAGUGAACCAGUACCGUGAGGGAAAGGUGAAAAGCACCCCGGGAGGGGAGUGAAAUAGAACCUGAAACCGUGUGCCUACAACAAGUUCAAGCCCGUUAAUGGGUGAGAGCGUGCCUUUUGUAGAAUGAACCGGCGAGUUACGUUAUGAUGCGAGGUUAAGUUGAAGAGACGGAGCCGUAGGGAAACCGAGUCUGAAUAGGGCGCCUUAGUAUCAUGACGUAGACCCGAAACCAUGUGACCUACCCAUGAGCAGGUUGAAGGUGCGGUAAGACGCACUGGAGGACCGAACCAGGGCACGUUGAAAAGUGCUUGGAUGACUUGUGGGUAGCGGAGAAAUUCCAAACGAACUUGGAGAUAGCUGGUUCUCUCCGAAAUAGCUUUAGGGCUAGCGUCGAUAUUAGAGAUUCUUGGAGGUAGAGCACUGUUUGGGUGAGGGGUCCAUCCCGGAUUACCAAUCUCAGAUAAACUCCGAAUGCCAAUGAAUUAUGGUCGGCAGUCAGACUGCGAGUGCUAAGAUCCGUAGUCGAAAGGGAAACAGCCCAGACCACCAGCUAAGGUCCCAAAAUAAUUGUUAAGUGGAAAAGGAUGUGGGGUUGCACAGACAACUAGGAUGUUAGCUUAGAAGCAGCUAUUCAUUCAAAGAGUGCGUAAUAGCUCACUAGUCGAGUGACCCUGCGCCGAAAAUGUACCGGGGCUAAAACAAUUUACCGAAGCUGUGGAUACCUUUAUAGGUAUGGUAGGAGAGCGUUCUAUGUGUGAUGAAGGUAUACCGUGAGGAGUGCUGGAACGCAUAGAAGUGAGAAUGCCGGUAUGAGUAGCGAAAGACAGGUGAGAAUCCUGUCCACCGUAAGACUAAGGUUUCCAGGGGAAGGCUCGUCCGCCCUGGGUUAGUCGGGACCUAAGGAGAGACCGAAAGGUGUAUCCGAUGGACAACAGGUUGAUAUUCCUGUACUAGAGUAUGUAGUGAUGGAGGGACGCAGUAGGCUAACUAAAGCAGACGAUUGGAAGAGUCUGUCUAAGCAGUGAGGUGUGAAUUGAGUCAAAUGCUUAAUUCUAUAACAUUGAGCUGUGAUGGGGAGCGAAGUUUAGUAGCGAAGUUAGUGACGUCACACUGCCAAGAAAAGCUUCUAGCGUUUAAACAUACUCUACCCGUACCGCAAACCGACACAGGUAGUCGAGGCGAGUAGCCUCAGGUGAGCGAGAGAACUCUCGUUAAGGAACUCGGCAAAAUGACCCCGUAACUUCGGGAGAAGGGGUGCUGACUUUAAGUCAGCCGCAGUGAAUAGGCCCAAGCAACUGUUUAUCAAAAACACAGCUCUCUGCUAAAUCGUAAGAUGAUGUAUAGGGGGUGACGCCUGCCCGGUGCUGGAAGGUUAAGAGGAGUGCUUAGCGUAAGCGAAGGUAUGAAUUGAAGCCCCAGUAAACGGCGGCCGUAACUAUAACGGUCCUAAGGUAGCGAAAUUCCUUGUCGGGUAAGUUCCGACCCGCACGAAAGGCGUAAUGAUUUGGGCACUGUCUCAACGAGAGACUCGGUGAAAUUUUAGUACCUGUGAAGAUGCAGGUUACCCGCGACAGGACGGAAAGACCCCAUGGAGCUUUACUGCAGUUUGAUAUUGAGUGUCUGUACCACAUGUACAGGAUAGGUAGGAGUCUAAGAGAUCGGGACGCCAGUUUCGAAGGAGACGCUGUUGGGAUACUACCCUUGUGUUAUGGCCACUCUAACCCAGAUAGGUGAUCCCUAUCGGAGACAGUGUCUGACGGGCAGUUUGAC